GAUGAACGCUGGCGGCGUGCCUAAUACAUGCAAGUCGAGCGAACAGACGAGGAGCUUGCUCCUCUGACGUUAGCGGCGGACGGGUGAGUAACACGUGGAUAACCUACCUAUAAGACUGGGAUAACUUCGGGAAACCGGAGCUAAUACCGGAUAAUAUAUUGAACCGCAUGGUUCAAUAGUGAAAGACGGUUUUGCUGUCACUUAUAGGUGGAUCCGCGCCGCAUUAGCUAGUUGGUAAGGUAACGGCUUACCAAGGCAACGAUGCGUAGCCGACCUGAGAGGGUGAUCGGCCACACUGGAACUGAGACACGGUCCAGACUCCUACGGGAGGCAGCAGUAGGGAAUCUUCCGCAAUGGGCGAAAGCCUGACGGAGCAACGCCGCGUGAGUGAUGAAGGUCUUCGGAUCGUAAAACUCUGUUAUUAGGGAAGAACAAAUGUGUAAGUAACUAUGCACGUCUUGACGGUACCUAGUCAGAAAGCCACGGCUAACUACGUG
rnacentral:rRNA from 1 species